UUAACACAUGCAAGUUGAGGGGCGAGCAUGGUCUUAGCUUGCUAAGGCCGAUGGCGACCGGCGCACGGGUGAGUAACACGUAUCCAACCUGCCGUCUACUCUUGGACAGCCUUCUGAAAGGAAGAUUAAUACAAGAUGGCAUCAUGAGUCCGCAUGUUCACAUGAUUAAAGGUAUUCCGGUAGACGAUGGGGAUGCGUUCCAUUAGAUAGUAGGCGGGGUAACGGCCCACCUAGUCUUCGAUGGAUAGGGGUUCUGAGAGGAAGGUCCCCCACAUUGGUACUGAGACACGGACCAGACUCCUACGGGAGGCAGCAGUGAGGAAUAUUGGUCAAUGGACGCAAGUCUGAACCAGCCAUGCCGCGUGCAGGAUGACGGCUCUAUGAGUUGUAAACUGCUUUUGUACUAGGGUAAACUCACCUACGUGUAGGUGACUGAAAGUAUAGUACGAAUAAGGAUCGGCUAACUCCGUG
rnacentral:rRNA from 1 species